rnacentral:rRNA from 1 species
AUUGAACGCUGGCGGCAGGCCUAACACAUGCAAGUCGAGCGGAGCGGCGGACGGGUGGGUAAUGCCUAGGAAUCUGCCUGGUAGUGGGGGAUAACGUCCGGAAAGGGGCGCUAAUACCGCAUACUAUCAGAUGAGCCUGGGUCGGAUUAGCUAGUUGGUGGGGUAAAGGCCUACCAAGGCGACGAUCCGUAACUGGUCUGAGAGGAUGAUCAGUCACACUGGAACUGAGACACGGUCCAGACUCCGACGGGAGGCAGCAGUGGGGAAUAUUGGACACUGGGCGAAAGCCUGCUCCAGCCAUGCAGCGCUGGUGAAGAAGGUCCUCGGAUUGUAAAGCACUUUAAGUUGGGAGGCGUUACCAACAGAAUAAGAACCGGCUAACUUCGUGCAAGCGCCGCGGUAAUAC